UGAGGAAUAUUGGACAAUGGGCGCAAGCCUGAUCCAGCCAUGCCGCGUGCAGGAAGAAGCAUCUAUGGUGUGUAAACUGCUUUUGUACGGGAAGAAACACUCCUACGUGUAGGAGCUUGACGGUACCGUAAGAAUAAGGAUCGGCUAACUCCGUGCCAGCAGCCGCGGUAAUACGGAGGAUCCAAGCGUUAUCCGGAAUCAUUGGGUUUAAAGGGUCCGUAGGCGGUUUAGUAAGUCAGUGGUGAAAGCCCAUCGCUCAACGAUGGAACGGCCAUUGAUACUGCUAGACUUGAAUUAUUAGGAGGUAACUAGAAUAUGUAGUGUAGCGGUGAAAUGCUUAGAUAUUACAUGGAAUACCGAUUGCGAAGGCAGGAUACUACCAAUGGAUUGACGCUGAUGGACGAAAGCGUGGGUAGCGAACA
rnacentral:rRNA from 1 species